rnacentral:rRNA from 1 species
UGGGGAAUAUUGCACAAUGGGCGAAAGCCUGAUGCAGCAACGCCGCGUGAGUGAUGAAGGUCUUCGGAUUGUAAAGCUCUGUCUUUUGGGACGAUAAUGACGGUACCAAAGGAGGAAGCCACGGCUAACUACGUGCCAGCAGCCGCGGUAGUACGUAGGUGGCGAGCGUUGUCCGGAUUUACUGGGCGUAAAGGGUGCGUAGGCGGAUGUUUAAGUGAGAUGUGAAAUACCCGGGCUUAACUUGGGUGCUGCAUUUCAAACUGGAUAUCUAGAGUGCAGGAGAGGAGAAUGGAAUUCCUAGUGUAGCGGUGAAAUGCGUAGAGAUUAGGAAGAACACCAGUGGCGAAGGCGAUUCUCUGGACUGUAACUGACGCUGAGGCACGAAAGCGUGGGUAGCAAACAGGAUUAGAUACCCUGGUAGUCCACGCCGUAAACGAUGAGUACUAGGUGUAGGAGGUAUCGACCCCUUCUGUGCCGCAGUAAACACAUUAAGUACUCCGCCUGGGAAGUACGAUCGCAAGAUUAAAACUCUAAAGUGAAUU